rnacentral:rRNA from 1 species
GUGGGGAAUUUUGGACAAUGGGCGCAAGCCUGAUCCAGCAAUGCCGCGUGCAGGAAGAAGGCCCUCAGGGUUGUAAACGGCUUUUGACGGUGAAGAACCGACAGGAUGCGUCCUGUUUUGACGGUAGCCGUUGAAUAAGCACCGGCUAACUCCGUGCCAGCAGCCGCGGUAAUACGGAGGGUGCGAGCGUUGUCCGGAUUUAUUGGGUUUAAAGGGUGCGUAGGCUGGAAGGUCAGUCAGCGGUGAAAAGCUAUCGCUUAACGAUAGUCUUGCCGCAGAUACUUCCUUUCUUGGAUGAGGAGGAGGCCACUGGAACGGAUGGUGUAGCGGUGAAAUGCAUAGAUAUCAUCCAGAACACCGAUUGCGAAGGCAGGUGGCUGUACCUUAAUCGACGCUGAUGCACGAAAGCAUGGGGAGCAAACAGGAUUAGAAACCCUUGUAGUCC